rnacentral:rRNA from 1 species
AGAAGCGGGGGAUAACACCUGGAAACAGAUGCUAAUACCGCAUAACAACUUGGACCGCAUGGUCCGAGCUUGAAAGAUGGCUUCGGCUAUCACUUUUGGAUGGUCCCGCGGCGUAUUAGCUAGAUGGUGGGGUAACGGCUCACCAUGGCAAUGAUACGUAGCCGACCUGAGAGGGUAAUCGGCCACAUUGGGACUGAGACACGGCCCAAACUCCUACGGGAGGCAGCAGUAGGGAAUCUUCCACAAUGGACGAAAGUCUGAUGGAGCAACGCCGCGUGAGUGAAGAAGGGUUUCGGCUCGUAAAACUCUGUUGUUAAAGAAGAACAUAUCUGAGAGUAACUGUUCAGGUAUUGACGGUAUUUAACCAGAAAGCCACGGCUAACUACGUGCCAGCAGCCGCGGUAAUACGUAGGUGGCAAGCGUUGUCCGGAUUUAUUGGGCGUAAAGCGAGCGCAGGCGGUUUUUUAAGUCUGAUGUGAA